UGCAAAUGAUCCCUUAUAGGAGAGGCUGGU
rnacentral:piRNA from 1 species